CACGUAGGCGGAUCUUUAAGUCAGAGGUGAAAGCCUGGAGCUCAACUCCAGAACUGCCUUUGAUACUGGGGAUCUCGAGUCCGGGAGAGGUGAGUGGAACUGCGAGUGUAGAGGUGAAAUUCGUAGAUAUUCGCAAGAACACCAGUGGCGAAGGCGGCUCACUGGCCCGGUACUGACGCUGAGGUGCGAAAGCGUGGGGAGCAAACA
rnacentral:rRNA from 1 species